rnacentral:miRNA from 10 species
UUAGAUUGGUGCAAAAGUAAUUGUGGUUUUUGCCAUUAAAAGUACGGGCAAAACCACAAUUGCUUUUGCACCAACCUAA